rnacentral:other from 1 species
CGGUCGCUGCUAGGUGCGUCAGGUCUAACAUCCCUGGGGCCAAUACAGACCUAUAGGGAGUUGUCCCUGCCGGGCCCGUGGGCCCGGUAUAUGGCACCCACCUGCACUCGCAGGCCACAGAGGAAUAUUACGGCCAACGGCCUUUGCGGCGCCGUC